UACGAAGGGUGCUAGCGUUGUUCGGAAUUACUGGGCGUAAAGCGCGCGCAGGCGGCUAUCCAAGUCAGUGGUGAAAGCCCGGAGCUCAACUCCGGAACUGCCAUUGAAACUGUUUAGCUUGAGGAUGAGAGAGGUGAGUGGAAUUCCCAGUGUAGAGGUGAAAUUCGUAGAUAUUGGGAAGAACACCAGUGGCGAAGGCGGCUCACUGGCUCAUUACUGACGCUGAGGCGCGAUAGCGUGGGGAGCAAACAGG
rnacentral:rRNA from 1 species